rnacentral:ribozyme from 14 species
AAAAAAGAAAAAAAAAAACUGAAAUAAAAUAACAUAAAAUCCCACAGCACUCCCCAUUUUCCGUUUAUCUCAAUAGUCCUGCUUCUGUUUUUGUUAAGUUGGGAAAUAUUAUGACUACUGGAGGGGGAAAUCAUCAUCACCAUAUUAUUAAAAAAAAAAAAAGACAACAA